rnacentral:rRNA from 1 species
AUUCUGGGCGUAAGCGCACGCAGGCGGUCUGUCAAGUCGGAUGUGAAAUCCCCGGGCUCAACCUGGGAACUGCAUUCGAAACUGGCAGGCUAGAGUCUUGUAGAGGGGGGUAGAAUUCCAGGUGUAGCGGUGAAAUGCGUAGAGAUCUGGAGGAAUACCGGUGGCGAAGGCGGCCCCCUGGACAAAGACUGACGCUCAGGUGCGAAAGCGUGGGGAGCAAACAGGAUUAGAUACCCUGGUAGUCCACGCCGUAAACGAUGUCGACUUGGAGGUUGUGCCCUUGAGGCGUGGCUUCCGGAGCUAACGCGUUAAGUCGACCGCCUGGGGAGUACGGCCGCAAGGUUAAAACUCAAAUGAAUUGACGGGGGCCCGCACAAGCGGUGGAGCAUGUGGUUUAAUUCGAUGCAACGCGAAGAACCUUACCUACUCUUGACAUCCAGAGAAGUUUCCAGAGAUGGAUUGGUGCCUUCGGGAACUCUGAGACAGGUGCUGCAUGGCUGUCGUCAGCUCGUGUUGUGAAAUGUUGGGUUAAGUCCCGCAACGAGCGCAACCCUUAUCCUUUGUUGCCAGCG